GACCAAGAAGGACGACCCAGGAAUGCCAAGCAUUUACUGCUCCAUAAAUGGAUACAACUUCUACAAGACGAUUUGCGACACCGGAUCAGGCGUCAACAUAAUGGCCGCAGUCACCUAUCGGCUCUUGUUCGGGACCAUGCCACUAAGACCAACAUACAUUCAGCUCCAGAUGACAGAUCAGACAAUUCGAGAAGUUAAAGGAAUAGUAUCUGAUGUCCCAGUCAAAAUAGACGAUCACUUUGUCUACACAGACUUUCAAGUUGUUGACAUGGGAGAAGACGAGUAUGAUCCACCCAUCAUCCUUGGAAGGCCGUUCCUCAGCACCGUUAAAGCAAUUAUCUACAUUAGAACCGGAGAAGUCCAUAUGCACUUCCCCUCAGAGAAGGUACGCCGUUAUUUUACUGACCUUAACUAUAUCGUUGAAGAAUCUAAGCAGGUCAGAAAGAGACGCAACCGCAACCAGAGGAGGCAGAUCAUCAAGGACGGAUGGGCAGACUAUGCAGGAGAAGUUGUAAGGUCAGAAGACGUAGAGUUUAAACAGAAUUAUCCAGAGGAGAUUGAAGCACCGAGUCAGGUAUGGAAAAUGAAGAUAACUAUACAAGAAGAGGAGGCGCUGCCAGAAGUACCGACUACGCCACCCAACGAACCUCAGGACGAUUAAGAAAUUGGAGAGUCCCGUUCGGAGGACUUAAAAACACCGAACGCCUUGCCAAGAGGUAAACUUGGUAGUUAUCCUUUCUUUCAGUUACUUCAAAUAGUCUAUUUAGUUAAACAUGUUCAUGCUAUCCUAAAAAGAAAAUAAAAAUAUGAAAAACAGUAAGCCCCAUGUGAGUAUACGAGUGGCAUAAAACCCAUACAUACAUUCACUGUAGUGGCAUAAAAAUAAAAUAAAUAUUUUUCUGUUUUAUAAAAUAAAAAAAAAUAUAUAAAAACAGGGAGUAAUAUUUAUCAAGGAGUCUCAAAAUAAUAAAGGCUAGAUAUUUAUGCUAACACUUAAUCAGUUCCACAAGCUUUGUUGUCUAUUUGAGCUCCACAGAAUUUUAGAAUCAAGAAGACUAGCAGACGGAGGACAUUCUAAUCGCUGUCAGAAUGCUGCUGACUUUCAACUACACCUCUGCCACCUGCUAGCUACAUCAAGAGAAAUUACGUCAAAAUUCAGCUUGGGGGAGAGCACCCCCAUUUAUCUCGAUAAGUAUUUCUAUCUAUCUUUAUACUUAUAUUAUUUUAGAAUACUAAAAUACAUAACUAUGGGAAAACCAAAUAAAGAUUUUAUGCUUAUAUAUGUCUUUUGAUUAGUGUGUUUAAUAAAUAAAUAAAGUGGCUAUGCUAAUCUAUAUCUAAAUAAAACUUAAGCAUGGAUAUGAUGAAAAGUUGCUCUGCCUAAUUUGCAAAUUUUAAGUUCUCUCUCAAGUUUAGAUAUAACUAUUAUAAUUUAAAGCUUGCUCUAGACCUAGACUUGUGGGAUAAAAACUUGAUCUGAAGUCUAAGUUGUUAACGAAUACGAUAUGGGAAGGCUGAGCUGCUGUUUAUCUGUUCCUAGAGAUGCUAGAAUUCUGGAGAAUUUCAUCUUUGAAAAUCUUUAAAAUGUUGCAUGAUGAGUUCCUGUAUGAUGAGAGCUUAAAAUUCCUACCACAGCCAUAUAUACAUGCUUGCUAGACUUUGAGCCACACAUUUAUUAUUUACUGCUUAUGAGCAUUGAGUGUGGUCAAGCUGUGUAGACCCUUAUGAGCUUGUCAUGUGGUUAAAUCAAGAUUUCACUUGCACGUUCACUCAUAUAUGCUACUUCUACUCCGGAAGUACCAUCCACAUAUAUCCACCCAUUCCAUCUCCAGAACCACCUAAAAAUAUUCUACUCCUAAUCCGGGAGAGAAUAACCAAAAAUAUUUUCUAUUUUCCCUUGUGAAAUAAAUGCUCAAGUUAUCUUGUUACUACCACUUGCUAUAUUAUCUCAAGAGAUGAAUGCUCUAAAAAAAAAAGAGAGAAAAUAAUACGAGAAAAUAAAAAGGAGCAAGUGCUCGGAACCUCGAAAGAAAAGAAAAAGUGAGACGAGAGGUAAAAAUGGACAAGUGUCCGACAGUAGAAUUAGGGGUGCAAGAUACCCACCUGAGAGAAAAGAAAAAGAAGAGCAUCUCAUUCUCCUCAUAAAGUUUCAAAAGCAAGGAAGGUAUGUAUCCCCUCAAAAGAGCAAAGUAGAAUUAGACUUCCACCACCAUUGUUUUCACCAUUGUUAUCACCAUCAUCACCAUAUACCAUUCAUUCGCCACACAUGCACAUCUUGAUUAAACUUAUUGACUUGUUACUUUGGAUCCAUGGUUUGACUAUGCAAUAAAUGUCUUGUAAGUAUGUAUAUUUUAUCUCCCACCUAUGAGCUCCAGAUAUUAAAGCCUUAUUAGAGUAGGAUGAGAGAGAAGGCAAUGUCACUAUGCCUCAUACCACAAAUACCACAUAUCUUGAGAGAAGGCACAUACCAUCAAUGCCUUGGUAAGGAUCCAAAAAUACCACAAAAGAGAGACCUGAGAGAAUCAUACAAGGAAUCUCUGAGUUUUAUUUGAAAAUAUGCAAAAAUCCCAGAGCUAUAGCUGAUCAAGAAUAAGAGACAUGGCACUUGGCUAGACUGUUCUAUCUUUUAACCACUCAAGACAGAAGUGACAGUUACAAGUCCCAUGGUGGAGGUAAAGUAAGUAAGUUUUAAGUCUUGACAGUUUAAUCUAACUCAGAGAUGAGAUCUUAUUUAAAAGCAUGUGUACCGCCAAUUUUUUAAAAAAUAUUGCAGCAACUUCUGAUCCAUAGCUGAGUCUAUCCUUGCUCAGGGACGAGCAAGAGGUAAGCUAGGGGGAGUUUGUUGACGGUCCUUAAGUAUCAAAUUUAAUUAUCAAAAUAAAUAAAGAAAAGGAUCCAAAUGAAAUCAAGAUCUAGACUUAGGGUUUUAUCUGACAGAAUUCCACGAGUUUUGGUGUUUGUCUAUUUCUGCAGGGGGUUAUCAGGAAAUAUGGAAGAAAGGCCCACAUGUCAGGAUUACGUAAAGAUAUUAACGUGCUGCGCAAUUAACUUACAUCUAGAAGACUCCAGAAGCCACGAGACCGAAGCGGAGGCGAAACGGGGCCAGAGGCAGGGCGCCCGCCCUGUCCUACUGGGCGCCCGCCCCCUGCCCAAGUCCAAUCAGGACUCUGCUUUGCGGGAAGUCUCCACCGACCUAAAGGAUGAAUCUAAACCAUACAAUCUAUGUCGGUUUGAUCCAAGGGCCCAUAUUCACUUGAAGGGACUAUAAAACCAGACCCCCUGGCCCCUGGAGGAGGGAGCCUCUCAACCCUAAUUCAUUGUUCCAUCAAGGGAGAAGAAGCCCCUGAUCAAGAUUAGAGCCACCACAUCAAUUAGAUAUCUAGAUUAGCAUAGCUACAUAGGAUUAGAACUAGAAGGAGUCAAUCUUUGAUUGGUUUCCGGAUCUGUCAGGAGGAUUCUUGGUAAUUCUCUAAUUGUGCUUCUAAUUGCUUUCUAAUUAUCUUUGUUCUUCAAUAUUAUGAAUAUGACUUUGUUCUACUUCAAUAUAUUGCUUAUGACUUUGCUCUACUUGCUUAUAUUCAAGAUUAUAUUGUUCUUAGUUUAUCAUAGUUAUGUACUUGGCUUAGUUAGAUACGAUCUAUAUACAUGCUUAGGAUCGUAUAGCGUUUAUCCAUCGGAUCCAUGGGUAAAUGAUAGAUAUUGUGUAGGCGUGGUGCUUAUACCGUAUUUAUCUGCGAUUGUACCCAAUAUGCCAGAUCGUGGGGUAGUUCGUGAUAGUGACAGCUUCAUUGAUUCUUAUAUAGUCCCCCUCUCGUGUAUUGGGCUGGCAGAGCAACAUUAUUACAGGGGAGUGAUUGCUAUGUUUCUCAUAUUCCUUGCUAAUAUCACUAUGCAUGGGCGUAGUCUUGUCUCACAAUGAUUGCUAAGUAUGCUUGCACUAACUAUGAUAUGCUAGACUAUAUAGUUAAGAAUAACUUAGGGAAUAUUCUUGUAGUUCGUUCUAAUACCAUGCUAAUGACUUUCUAGAGUAUCUAAUUGAGGUGCUUAUCAUAUUUAUUAUGUGGCUAGAUCAGAUUAGUUAUCCUUGUCACUAUUAUUAUUUCAUAUAUCUUUUAUGUGACACUUAUCCCUGUAUGAUGAGUUAGAUAUAAUGUUCUCAAUUAUACAUGCAAUGAUAGAUGCUCAAUCUCAUAUUCUAUUCUGUAAUCAUUAGUGAUGAUUUCUAAUCCCUUUCUAGUUGUAAAAAUAUAAAUAACGAUACCUGGAAUACUUCCCGGUUAAAAUGCUACAUCGGUAUUAAUCUGUGCGCUUGCAGAUCCCAUUCAUUAUUUAUUUAGAAGAGCAAUUGCAUAUUUCAAUACCGCGUCUCUCAUAUCAUGCUGGGGAUGACAACUUGGCUUAAGUGGUGUGAGGGAUAGGAUUGGCAUUUUUGGCACCGUUGCUAGAUUUAGAACUUAGUCUACUUUUGGUAAUGAUGUUAAGAAUACCCAACACAUGUGGUGUGGUGAAAAUGGUAACGUGAGUGUGGUAUAAAAGGAAAAGAAAAAGGAUACACGAACGACUUGGUUCGAAACUAGCACAGCUACCGUUCCCCGGCAACGGCGCCAGAAAGCUUGUUGGGUAUUUUAAACGCAAAUAGAAAAAUCCGCAAGCGCACGGAUACCGAUGUAGCCUUCACCCAGGAGUAUUCCAGAGUAUCGAAUUUCCACAGAGAACGUGAGUGUACUAAUUAAGAUCCAAGAUCGCCCAAGGAUAACUAUAUAAUUAUUUUUGGUGGGAAGAGAGGAAGUUUCCUGAGAGUUCUCUAGUUGAUCUAAGAAUCAAGAAUUACUUCAAGAUUAUCUAUAUCGGGACAUCAGAGCACUAACCACAGAAAGAGAUGAGAAGGGGGCUAGGAAGGUCUGACUACGGUCCUACAAACACCGAUCCGAACAUGGUGGAAUACGUCGACUGUUAGGGCUGUCACUACCCUAAGGCUACCACAACAAUCCGCAGGAUUGGGUGCAAUUUCAGGUAAUCGCAAGACUAAACACCACGUCUAAUCUAUUAAUUACUACUCUAGCGUUAUAACGACUAGAGCACUUGAUGCAAGCGGGAAUCCAAUAAAUAACUUGAAUGUAAAUAAAAGUAAUUAGAGAACUCAGGAAUUAUGUUUUGAAGAACCUGGAGAACGAUGAAGAACGAACCAGAUGCUGCAAAAGUAUAAUGUUGAGGAAGAUCCGACAGAUCCGGCUCCUCCUCCGCUCUCCUCUUCUCUCUCCCUAUUUUUCUAGAUUACAACUAGAACUAACUAGAACUAGAACUAGAGGAACUACAACUAGAACUAAAUAAACUAGAACUAGAUCUAGAUGAACUAGAGGUAGAACUAGAAGAACUAGAGGGAUCCUCUCUAUUUGGAUGAAGAAUUGAAACCCUAACUUUGAUUCUGUAGAAGAGGUAUGCUCUCCAGGGGCCAGGGGGCCUUGCUUAUAUAGUCUUUUUAGAUGAAUCUGGGCCGUCGGAUCAAACCAACAUUAAUCGCACGGUUUUCCUUGGUCCCUUAGGUCGGUGGAGCAUGAUCCGCGAAGUUGAAGCUGAUUGGUUACUGUAGCUGGGCGGGCACCCAAGGGACUUGGGCGGGCGCCCUGCCCCCGGGCCCGAUCGGCCUCCCGUUCGUUCCCGUGGCUUUUGGAGUCUUCUAGAUGGUAGAAAAUUGCGCGGAACGUUAAUAUCUCUAUGUAAACCCGACGUGUGGUCCUUUCUUUCAUAUUUCCUGAUAACCCCCUACAGAAAUAGACAAACACUAAAACAUGUGGAAUUCUGUCAGAUAAAACCCUAAGGGUGUGUUUGGUUGGGCUGUGACUUUUGGAAAAGCUACUGUGAGCUUUGAGCUUUUGAAAAGCUGCUGUGGGAUGUGGGCUUUGAGAAAGCCAAAAGUCAUUUGGUUGGUCACUCGUGGCUUUUGGAAAAAAAACUGAAUGGAUCCCAAAAGUCAGUGAAAGCUGGGGGUGAGGUGCUUUUGGAUUUGUACUACGAGAAAAGCUGCUUUUGGGCAAAAGCACUUGUGGCUUUUGAGCCCUUUGGUUGGCUUUUGGCUUUUACAAAAGCAAAAGCAGGUUCAAAAGCCCAACCAAAGGGACCCUAAGUCUAGGUGUUGGCUGCAUAUAAGUCUUUUUCCAUGAUUAGUUGACGGUUAAAUGUGAGCAUUAAGGACCGUCAACACUAGUGCUCAUCUCCAACACUUUUUUGGAGAUUUGCAGCACAUUCACCAUAUCAGGAGUCCCCAGGAUGCUAUACUACUUCGCCUCUUCCCAUUCUCACUGUUAGGGAGAGCGAAGCAGUGGUUCUACGCUACAAAGGAGAAGAAUACUACGUGGGCACUCUGCUCCAUGAACUUUCUAGCUAAAUUCUUUCCCAUGGGCAAGACCAAUGCUCUCCGUGGGAAGAUUACAAGUUUUCAACAACAACAUGAUGAAUCCGUUCCAGAAGCAUGGGAGCGCUUCCAAGACUACAUCCUAGAAUGUCCCCAUCAUGGAAUGGAGAGCUGGCUACUGAUGCAGACUUUUUAUCAUGGACUCGGCAACAGUACCCGAGAGACCAUGGAUGCUGUAGCUGGAGGAGCAUUCCUAUCACUUACCAUACCACAAGCCACAGCUAUUGUGGAGAAGAUGGCAUCCAACCAAGGCUGGAAUGAAGAGAGGACCCAGACACGCAAGAAAGGUGGAGGUAUGCAUCAGCUCAAGGAGGUAGACAUGCUGUCUGCUCGAUGAUAAACCUGGAGAUAAGAAAGAAGUUAUGCACAUCUACGACUCUCACAUGACUUGUGAGGAGUGUGGAGAUACUGGACACUCAGGCAAUCACUGCCCUGAGAUGCUUGAGGAUUUAAACUACAUCAACAACUACUACUACUACCGUCCUCAACAAAAUCAAGGUUGGAAUCAAUAGAGGCCUAAUUACUGAGGUAAUUAUCAAGGUAACAAUUCUUGCAAUAAUAAUAAUAAUUUUCCACCUCUGAGAGAGUUAGUGUCUAAUCAAGGAAAGUUAAUGGAUAACCUAUCUAUGAAAUUGGCAUCUAAUGAUAAAAUUCUAGAAAAUAUAAAUAAUAGAAUGGAUAAUUUCUCUACUGCCAUCAAGAAACAAAUUAGCUUUAAUAAAAUGAUUGAAUCUCAGUUAAAUCAAAUAGCUGUUGUUGUUCCUGCUACUAACCCCAGUAUACCAUCACAACCGGAAGGAUUAGAAUCUACAAACCUUGCAGACAUGUUUGAUGCAGGUAAUUGGAGUAACCCCAUCACUGAAGUUACUACUGACCUUCUGCCGGUCAAGAGAGGCGAUCUAGGAUGCCCCGUCAUCCCGAUCUCCAUCGGCAUGGUGGACUUCCCAGAAGCACUCUGCGACUUUGGCUCUAGCGUCAACAUUAUGCCUAGGGUACUCUAUGAAAAAUUCUUUACGUAUCCUUUAUUAGAAAUAACCAUGUGUUUGCAGUUUGCAGAUCAGGCGUUAAGUUUCCCAAAGGGAAUAUUGAAGAACCUCUGUGUCCGAGUUGGUAUCUUGUACGCCCCAGCAGACUUCGUGGUGAUAGAGACCGAAAAUGAUGAGAGGGCACCCAUCAUCUUAGGGAGGCCAUUCUUAAACACCUCGGGAGCUGUCAUCUACGCUAGCGCUGCCAAGAUCAGUUUCUACAUCAAAGGGAGGAAGGAGACAUUUUCCUUCAAGAACAAGACUACACAAAUCCCAGAGGAAUCUCGACAUGAACCAAGGAAGAGGACCAACAGGAGUUUCAGGAACAAGCAAGUGUGGACCGAGUCAGCUAAGAUGGUCACUGCAGUUCUUGAAGGUCAAGAUCAUCGACUUAAGUCAGCGUUUCUGGCCAAGAAGGACGACCUAGGAAUGCCAAGCAUCUAUUGCUCCAUAAAUGGAUACAACUUCUACAACACGUUUUGCGACACCAGAUCGGGCAUCAACAUAAUGACCGCAGUCACCUAUCGGCUCUUGUUCGGAACCAUACCCCUAAAACCAACAUACAUUCAGCUCCAGAUGGCAGAUCAGACAUUUCAAGAGGUUAAAGGUACAGUAAAUGAUGUCCCUGUAAAGAUAGACGAUCAUUUUGUCCAUACAGACUUUCAGGUUAUUGACAUGGGAGAAGACGAAUACGAUCCACCCGUCAUCCUUGGAAGACCAUUCCUCAGCACUGUUAAAGCAAUCAUCUACAUUGGAACUGGAGAAGUCCAUAUGCACUUACCCUCAGAGAAGGUAUGCCGCUAUUUUACUGACCCUAAUUAUAUAGUUGAAGACUCUAAGCAGGUCAGGACAAAAAGAAGACAACACAAUCGCAACCAGAGGAGGGAAAUCAUCAAGGACGGAUGGGCAGACUACGAAGGAGAAGUGAUAAGAUCUGAGGAGAUAUAGCUUGAACAAGAUUAUCCUGAGGAGACUGUAGCACCGAGUCAGGUGUGGAGAGAGAAGAUAACUAUACACGAAGAAGAGGCGCCGCCGGAAGCACCGACUGCGCCACUCAACGAAUCCCAGGACAACUAGAAAACGGAGAGUCCCGUUCGGAGGACUUCAAAACACCAAACGCCAUGCCAAGAGGUAAACUUGGUAGUUAUCUUUUUCCAUUCAAUUAUUUAAAAUAGUUUGCUUAGUUAAUCAAGUUCAUAUCAUCUUAAAAAGAAAAUAAAAAUACAAAAAAUUAGUAAGCCUCAUGUGAGUAUUCGGGUGGCAUAAAACCCAUAAGUACAUUCACUGUGGUGGCAUAAAAAUAAAAUAAAUAUUUCUUUUCUGCUUUAUAAAAUGAAAAUAUAAAAAUAGAGUGUAAUAUGUAUUGAGGAGACUCAACAUGAUAAAGGCUAGAUAUUUAUGCUAAUACCUAAUCAGUUCCACAAAGCUUUGUUGUCUAUUUGAGCUCCACAGAAUUUAAGAAUCAAGAAGACUAGCAGACGGAGGACAUUCUAAUCGCUGUCAGGAUACUGCCGACUUUCAAAUACACCUCUGCCACCUGCUAGCUACGUCAGGAGAAAUUACGUCAAAAUUCAGCUUGGGGGAGAGCACCCCCAUUUAUCUCGCUAAGUAUUUCUAUCUAUCUUUAUACUUAUACUAUAUUAAAAUAUAAAGAAAAACAAAUAAAGAUUUUUUGCUUAUAUAUAAAUAUAUGUCUUUUGCUUAGUGUGUUUAAUAAAUAAAUAAAGUGGCUAUGCUAAAUUGAAUCUAAAUAAAGCUCU
rnacentral:lncRNA from 1 species